CAAUGACUGUCCCUGCUGCAACUUACCAGAAUGGCUGAAGAACUUUGUGCGUGUGCAGACAAGACCAUCUAUUCUGCAGAGCAGGCUGGAAGCCAUACAACCAGAAUGUACUGCUGAGGGCUUGGUGGAAGUCAG